rnacentral:rRNA from 1 species
GCAAGUCGAACGAUGAAUCUUCUAGCUUGCUAGAAGUGGAUUAGUGGCGCACGGGUGAGUAAUGCAUAGGUUAUGUGCCCUUUAGUCUAGGAUAGCCAUUGGAAACGAUGAUUAAUACUGGAUACUCCUUACGAGGGAAAGUUUUUCGCUAAAGGAUUGGUCUAUGUCCUAUCAGCUUGUUGGUGAGGUAAUGGCUCACCAAGGCUAUGACGGGUAUCCGGCCUGAGAGGAAGGUC